GAAUGCGCGUCCUAUGCAUGCAAGUUCGUACGCACGCGCUUCGGCGCGUGAGUGGCGCACGGCUGAGUAACACGUGGGAACCCGCCCUCCGGGUGGGGGAUAACGCGACGAAAGUCGCGCUAAUCCCGCAUACGUCCGCAAGGGGAAAGCGCUUCGGCGCGCCGGAGGAGGGGCCUGCGGCCCAUCAGGUGGUUGGUGGGGUAACGGCCUACCAAGCCGAUGACGGGUAGCUGGUCUGGGAGGAUGACCAGCCAGACUGGGACUGAGACACGGCCCAGACUCCUACGGGAGGCAGCAGCAAGGAAUUUUCGGCAAUGGGCGCAAGCCUGACCGAGCAACGCCGCGUGCGGGAUGACGGCCUUCGGGUUGUAAACCGCUUUUCGGGGGGACGACUACGACGGUACCCCCGGAAGAAGCCCCGGCUAACUCUGUGCCAGCAGCCGCGGUAAGACAGAGGGGGCGAGCGUUGUCCGGAGUUACUGGGCGUAAAGCGCGCGCAGGCGGUGGUCUCAGUGUCGUGUGAAAGCCCCCGGCUCAACCGGGGGAGGUCAUGGCAAACUAGACGACUGGAGCGGCGGAGAGGCCCCUC
rnacentral:rRNA from 1 species